rnacentral:rRNA from 1 species
UACGUAGGUGGCAAGCGUUGUCCGGAUUUACUGGGCGUAAAGAGCGCGCAGGCGGUCGUUCAAGUCGAGUGUGAAAGCCCCCGGCUCAACUGGGGAGGGUCACUCGAUACUGAUCGACUCGAAGGCAGAAGAGGGAAGCGGAAUUCCCGGUGUAGUGGUGAAAUGCGUAGAUAUCGGGAGGAACACCAGUGGCGAAGGCGGCUUUCUGGACCAACACUGACACUGAGGAGCGAAAGCCAGGGGAGCAAACGGG